AGAAGGCUGAGGACAUUUUUGGCAUAAAAAAUAUAUAAUAAUAUUUUAUAAACGGAACCCUAACGGAUCACUAACGGCAGGGGGUGAAGUGAACAUUUUUCAUUUUACAAGAGAGCAAAAUGUAGGUUUUUAAAUGAUAGGGGGGAAUGUGAAAAAUCGAAUUUUGACAGGAAAUUUUAUGUAAUUUAGCCUUAAUUAACUAUCACUUUUAUCUUGUUACUUUAAUAAAACUUUUGCUUUAGUACUUGACAUUUAUUUUGUAAUAACAACAAAUGGUUACAUCCUGACCAUUGAUAUUUGUAGGAAUACAAUCGAAAGUUUUAUUUGUUCAACUAAUAGUUGUUUUUUCUUUUCUAACAAAAUUUUAUAACUCAAUUGAGAGGUACC
rnacentral:lncRNA from 1 species